GAUGAACGCUAGCGGCAGGCUUAAUACAUGCAAGUCGAGGGGGUAACAUGGUAGCAAUACUGAUGACGACCGGCAAACGGGUGCGGAACACGUACAGAACCUUCCUUUAAGCGGGGAUAGCCCAUAGAAAUGUGGAUUAAUACCCCAUAGUAAUAUUGACUGGCAUCAGUUGGUAUUUAAGAUUUAUCACUUAAAGAUGGCUGUGCGGCUGAUUAGGUAGUUGGUGUGGGUAACGGCCCACCAAGCCAGCGAUCAGUAACUGGUGUGAGAGCACGACCAGUCAC
rnacentral:rRNA from 1 species